CUGUUCUUGGCUUAGUUGGUUAAAGCGCCGGUCUAGCGAAUACGGAGUCGUGGGUUCGAAUCCCACCAGAACGCG
rnacentral:tRNA from 1 species